GGAAAAUGGAGGCUAUGGCUAAAGGUGGGAGAGGAGCUCUUUGGACUUAUUAAUGUACCAAUAUGUGCUGUGAAUUUACAAGAUAGGCUCAAUAUGAUGAAAUGAAUCCUGCAUGUUUUCCUCUCAAUCCAAAGUAAUCAGAUUUAAAGUUUUAGUAGAGCCUACUGAUAAUAUAAUAAAACUGACAUGACUUCUA